rnacentral:tRNA from 1 species
AGCGGGUGUAGCUCAGCUGGUAGAGCGUGACCUUGCCAAGGUUGAGGUCGCGGGUUCGAGUCCCGUCACCCGCUU